CCUACGGGAGGCAGCAGUGAGGAAUAUUGGUCAAUGGUCGGGAGACUGAACCAGCCAUGCCGCGUGCAGGAGGACGGCACUGUGAAUUGUAAACCUCUUUUGUCCGAGGACAAACCUGAAUACGUGUAUUCGGCUGAGAGUACUUGACGAAAAAGGAUCGGCUAACUCCGUGCCAGCAGCCGCGGUAAUACGGAGGAUGCAAGCGUUAUCCGGAUUUAUUGGGUUUAAAGGGUGCGUAGGCGGUUUGAUAAGUUCGGGGUGAAAUGCCCGAGCUUAACUCCGGACCUGCCUAUAAUACUGUCGAUCUAGAGAGGGGGAGAGGUAGGCGGAAUGUCCGGUGUAGCGGUGAAAUGCUUAGAGAUCAUGCAGAACACCGAUUGCGAAGGCAGCUUACCAACUUCUAACUGACGCUGAGGCACGAAAGCGUGGGGAGCGAACAGGAUUAGAUACCCCGGUAGUC
rnacentral:rRNA from 1 species